rnacentral:rRNA from 1 species
GACAUGGGUGGCAAACGGUAUCCGGAAUUACUGGGCGUAAAGGGUGCGUAGGUGGUUUGUUAAGUCUGCUGUGAAAUCCCCGGGCUCAACCUGGGAAUGGCAGUGGAUACUGGCAAGCUAGAGUGCGGUAGAGGGUAGUGGAAUUCCCGGUGUAGCAGUGAAAUGCGUAGAGAUCGGGAGGAACACCUGCGGCGAAAGCGGCCCACUGGACCAUAACUGACGCUGAGGCGCGAAAGCUAGGGGAGCAAACAGG